UACGGAGGGUGCGAGCGUUAUCCGGAAUUACUGGGUUUAAAGGGUGCGUAGGCGGCCAAGUAAGUCAGGAGUGAAAGUUUGCGGCUCAACCGUAAAAUUGCUUUUGAUACUGCUUAGCUAGAACCAGGAUGAGGUUAGCGGAAUGUGGCAUGUAGCGGUGAAAUGCAUAGAUAUGCCAUAGAACACCAAUUGCGAAGGCAGCUGGCUAGACCUGUAUUGACGCUGAGGCACGAAAGCGUGGGGAGCGAACAGG
rnacentral:rRNA from 1 species